rnacentral:rRNA from 1 species
CGGCGGACGGGUGAGUAACGCGUGGGUAACCUGCCUCAUACAGGGGGAUAACAGUUAGAAAUGACUGCUAAUACCGCAUAAGACCACAGCACCGCAUGGUGCAGGGGUAAAAACUCCGGUGGUAUGAGAUGGACCCGCGUCUGAUUAGCUAGUUGGUAAGGUAACGGCUUACCAAGGCGACGAUCAGUAGCCACCUGAGAGGGUGACCGGCCACAUUGGGACUGAGACACGGCCCAA